UGUUCUUCACUGAUUAUAUUAAAAUGAGUUCUGAACAGUACAUCCUGAACAUCUUUGUACUAGUUCAAAGCCUUAAAAUACUCUCUUACUCCCAUCUAGUUAUACAUCAAAUAACAUAUUUUAUAUGCUAUCAAGAGUCCACAGACGAGCAUUACUAAAUCAAAAUAACAAGAGUAGACAUACUUGACAGACUAGCAUGAUGACAAAUUCUAUCGAAUAUUACAUCAAAUAAUUACAGAAUCACCUACACCAUUUGCAGACCCAUAUUUCAGCCAGGACACUGUAGUCAAACAAACUCGCCUAUUUACAAAGUCAACCAAAUUAAACCAGACAAGUGCUCCAUCAACUUGCUUAUUGAAACCUUUCUUGGCCUUGUUUGGCUAAAAACAAGUGUAAUCAACUUGCUAAUUGCUCAAACCUUCGUUCUUUAACCCACAUGGCAAGGAUAACAGUUCAGUAAGCUCCACCCGGUAUUCUAGACCCCUAAGAUAGUGCCCUAGUAGCAUGCACCAAAACAACAGACGAGCCAAAUAAUCUCGAGUCAAUGAUAUCUGAGGUUGGAAGUGAAUGGAUGUGUUCUCAACAAGAUCGAUGGAAUCUUCAGCUCCAACAUUUACAGUUCCUGCAGAGUUAUUUUCUGAUAGAUCAGGAGCCUUAGAAUGCAUUCUGGGGGAUAGAGUUGCGAGUAGUCCAUGGACUACUGAACGGAUGGUCUCCUUUACUUCCAGGGAUGUUGGUUCUGAUAGCUCAGCAACCUUCUCCGGAAGCAAUGAUCUUAAGUAGUCCAACAACUCAUUCUUCUCCUCACCUACAAAUUGUUGCAUCUGAAGAGCUGCACUUUUCCUCUUAACUUCACGAAGUUCCUUUUUGUAAGACGCUAAGCGAGUCUGUAGGUCUAAUAUGUAUUGCUGAGCUUCAGGGGUCAUUUUACCAAAGUCUGGAAUAUCACGUGAAAGUUCACUCUUUCCUUCUGAUGUUGGUUGUUUCUGUUCAGAUUUUUUGCUCGAUAUAUUUUCAUUCAGCAAUUUCUCAUCUCCAACUUUGGAAUCUUCAGGCUUUUGUCUACCAAUGUUUCCAUCAUAUAUUUCAAUGUUCUUUUCAAGACAAAGCCUGUACUCAGCAUUCCGUAGUGUAUACCCAGUCAUCAUUGAAGAGAUCAAAAGCUUGGAGAUUGGUUCCCACAAAGCUUCAAUUAGAACUUGAAACUGGUCUGAUGGAAGCAAGCCCAACAUGCCUGAUAUAGUUCUUUUCAUUGCAUCAAUGGUAGUGGGUGGUACAUCUUUUUGAAUAAGGCUCACAUCCAGUGGCUCUAUCUCUUGUAUCAAGUUUGAGAGGACUGAUUUCUUGGAUCGAGAAUUCUGGUUGCUGGCACUGAAAUCAUCGGCCGAAGAAGCAGAAAUUGAAGCAGUUCUUAAGGGCAAAGAUUUAUUACGAAUUUUGGUUGAACGAGAGGGAAGAGAAGAAAUAGAGGGAGAAAUAGUUAGGCGUUUGAAAUGGCGUAUUGGUUGAGGAGAAGUAGAGAGGGAGAAGGAGAAGGCUGCCAUUGACAACCACUACUGCUCCUCUCUCUGCCCUCUUUCCGAUCCAAAACCAGGAAAGCUGGUAUAUAUCCGACCCGACCCGAAAAGGACGACCUUAAUGGCCUAAUUGCACCGUAAACACAUUCAAAAGAUCUAAACGUGUGGAUAGAUAACGAAGAUUAUAAAAAAAUGGAUGAUCUGAUAAAUAUUACUACUUUAGAAUGAUACAGGCACUGGCAAUUCCUGACUUCGA
rnacentral:misc_RNA from 1 species